CUACCAAGACAGUGACGGUUGACGGGGAAUUAGGGUUCUAUACCGGAGAGGGAGCCUGAGAGAUUGCUCCCACGUCCAAGGACGGCAGCAGGCGCGAAAAUUGCCCACUGUUUGUAGGAGGCAGUUAUGAGACGUGAGAUUGAAUACUUGGCAAAGAGAAGUAGGAGAAUUGGAGGGCAAGUUUGGUGCCAGCAGCCGCGGUAAUACCGACUCCAAGAGUGUGUAUGAGAGAUGCUGCAGUUAAAAAGUCCGUAGUCAUGAUGAGUUAAAUAGGGACGAGGUCUCUAAGAGAUGAAGUGGAGGAGCCAAUGGGGAGCACAGUAUACCAGGGCGAGAGAUGAAAUGUCAAGACCCCUGGUGGACUAAGCGAGGCGAAAGCGGUGCUCUUGUGGGUUUUCGGUGAUCAAGGACGAAGGGUGGAGGAUCGAAAGUGAUUAGAUACCGCAGUAGUUCCAGCAGUAAAAGAUGCC
rnacentral:rRNA from 1 species